rnacentral:lncRNA from 1 species
ACACACAAAGCACAGCAGGUGCAACACUAGCUGCAAGCACAAGAAGUAGGCAGCAAUGGCGAGGCAUCGCCUCCUCGCCGUGCUCCUCAUCGGGAUAGUUGCAGCCUUCGCCUUCAACCAAGCAGCUGCGGCUGGCCGAGGCCUUGCUGCCGUCGAGAAGUUUGCAGAGCUAGAGCCAAAGCCAGAAUCCAAACCAGAGCCAAUGGCCAAACCUAUGCCACACCCAGAGCCAGAGCCUUGCAAACCUGAACCGAUGCCCAAACCCAAACCAAAGCCCGAACCAAAGCCCGGACAGAAGCCCGAACCAGAACCCAAGCCCAAGCCGAUGCCAAAACCAAAGCCCAACCCCUGCUCCAAACCAAAGCCAGGUCCUAAGCCCGAGCCAAUGCCGAAACCCGAACCAAAGCCGGAGCCCAAGCCUAAACCUGAACCGAAACCGAAGCCGCCUCCUAAGUGCAAACCACCGACAGCUCACAGUUGAUGGGAUACUUAUAUACGACAGUUCAUGGAGGAGACCCCAUACGAAGCCACACUAUGCUAUUUCUAGAAUAAGUGGUGUAAUAUUCCCUGUAUUCCAGUUAUUUCUAUUGUUCCAUGCAUGUGUGAUGAGUAUUAGUACUCUGUAUUUUUUUUUGCUUGUUGGUAUAUGUUCAUCUACUUUGUAUGUGACUCGACUCCUUGUUCUUCUGACUAUCUACGCAUGAUUGUAUUCAUUCACAUGAAUGAGCUAUUUUGUCAAUGAACUGUAGCCUGUCUUCUCUAUGGUGUGCGUGUACGUGUCUGGUGUUCUAGAUGUAUAAAGUGUACUCAUACGCCAGACAGCGGCCUUGUUCUCUUCCCUUCACCUAUGAACUAAAUCCCGACCGAGUGCGUUAGUAUAUAUGCCCAAGCUCUGUGAGUGAGCUAGCUCCGCUGCUGGUUAUACUAGGUAAACGUCACACACAUUGCUACGAAAGUUUAUCUAUACCCCUAUAUAGUAUGCGAAUAACUUUAAAAGUUGGUCGUUGGAUGAAGCCAAUCCGACGGUACAGAGAUGGCAAAUCCGAGCACUACUGGUCGUUGGAUAUCAUUUACAUUCCACCAAAUUCUGUCACAUGUACAAUCUAGAAGACUUCAUGGUUGAACUUAAGCAUAAUGCACAAACCUCAAAACACAAGCACUUCUCUUUUGUUCUAUAGAAUCUUCCAUAUCUUAAUUGCCCAAACUUUUUUUUCUAAAUGAAUUGUCACUUUUUGUUUUUACUUUAUGCUUUACAAUGCACAAUUUCAUGAAUCUUAAAAUAGAUUUUUUUUAUAAAACUAAUUGAUUUUAGAAGAGACGAACUAUAAGAAUUAAACGAACAUCUACAUCAUGCAUAUAUGACUCAAAGAUUACAUGCUAUAUUGUGGUAUUUAUUCAUAGUUUGGUUACCAAAUCUCCUGCGUGCAAUGUGCGUGUACCUUACUAGUAGCAAAGAAAUUAUGAAAAAUAGCAUAUAUGGGAAUAAUACCACACAACAUUCUCACCAUAUGACGAUAGAAAACCUCAUUAAAAGGCAAAGGGGUUGCUUGCCCGACACCCUCUACACUCUUUUCUCGACCGUUUUUUUUCUGGGUUUGCUCUAUUAUUCAAUGAAAGAAACCUUUCACCGGUUUUCUAAAUUUAAAACAUUCAUGAAUAUGAAAAUGUUCACAAAUUAGCAGAAUACAGGUUUGAAAAAAUUAAAUUAAUUCAAAAACAUUGAAGACUUCAAAAAAUCAAAAAUUCUUUUUUUUUUGAAUUUGAGAAAAGUGAAUUAAAAAAAGAUUGUAAAUUUAAAAAUAAAACUUGCGAAUAUGAAAAAAUGUUCAAAAAUUGAAAAAAUGUUCAUGAAGUUUAAAAUAAAAAUAAAAAAUCCAACAAAAAACUGAAACAAGGCAGAAAAGUAAAAAGAAAAACCUGGCCGAAUUUUCCAGAACCAAAGUUCACCCAUAAGUUCUGGAAGCUUCUGGGAGUGAGCUUCCGCUCACGUAAGCGCCUUUUACGAUCUAUCAAAGGAAGAGGUGUGUGCACUUUCUACCAAUAACUUAGAAACCAGUGCUAAAUAACAUAUUUCCACUUUUAACGAGGGGUAGAACGGAAUUCGACUACAGAGCCACGAUAUGUGCCAAUCCCAACAUUUUUUUUCUAGCAAACACGUUUUUUCUAUAGGGGCACACGUCUCACCGCCAACGAACGGGUUUUUUUGUUUUUAUUUCCAUUUUUUCUCAUUUUCGAGAAAAAUUUAUAUAAAAUAUAUGGAUUUGUACUUUUUUUACAAGUGAUCAUGUAGUUUAAUAAGUGUUCAUGUACUUAAAAAAUGUUCAUCGCUUAUUUGUAAAAUGUUUUCAAAAUAUCAAACAUUUUGCAAAUACACAUAAAAUUAAUUUUUCCAAAAAUACACACUGUGAACAUUCUGAACAAUACAGGAUGAAGAUUUCUUUUAAUACAUGAUGAACCAUAGAAAUAACAAUAUUUUCUGAAAAUACAAAAUGAUUUUUUUAAUCCGUGGUAAUUUUUAUAUACACAGUAAGUAUUUUGUUCAUACAUGAUGAAUAUUUUGUAAAAACAUGAGUGAACAUUGCCCGACGCCGGUGAGGGAGGGGCGAUGAUGGUUGUGCAUUUUCAGCUUGAUCGAGUGAUUUUAUACAUCACUAGAUGGUCUAUGAACCUGAAUGUAUGUUCUGUUACUUCUGAUGUUCUUAUACUGACAUGGCAGUUGAUAAAUAGAUCUAAAGAAUUUUGUAAAACAAUAAGAUAAAUGUUCAACUUGUCUUAAUAAUUGUUCCUGAGAUUUAAAAAAUAUAUUCACAUUGUUCCGAAAACCAGUACAUUUCAAAAAGAAUCAUAUGUUUAGAAAAUUGUUCAUGGCAAUAUUAAAAAUGUUCAGGAAAUAUAAAAAAUGUUUUAUUACAGUUUAUAAAAAUACUUGUGGUAUAUAAAAAUUGUUCAUCAUGUUUUAUAAAACGUACAAACAUGUAUUGGAAAAAUAUUCUAUGUGUAUUAAAAAAAUGAUUAAUAUUUUGAAAACAAUCAACGUGUAUUUGAAAUACGGAAAAUGAAAAACAAAACAUGAAAAAAAGAACAGAAAAGUAAAAUAAGAAAACAAAAAUGAAAAACCUAAACAAACCAGAUAAAGAAAACAGAAAACAAUUUGGAUAAAACGUUCUGAAAAUCGCAUGAAACAAACCAAUGCUACACUGCCUCCACCGCUACUGGGCCACAGCCCGCACCGCAUCACCAAAGGUGAGCGCCUCGCGGUAUGUAGAGACAUAGCAUUUGCGCAAAACGACCGCACGCAUUGAACAAACUGUUGGCUAGCUAGUUUAGCUAGUUAUUAGAAUGACUUGUAACUUUAUUCAAACUCAACCAAAUUGUAGGUACAAUGCUUUGGAUCAUAGAUACGAGAGAUUGCAAAAUAACUUCUAUAACUAAGAAUUACAAUGAAACCCUCUUGAGUAAAAAUAUGAUAAACGAAAAAAAAAAACAUUACUCCCUCUGUACCACAAUAUAAGACGUUUUUGCAAGCUAGUUUAGCUUGCAAAAACAUCUUAUAUAUAUUGUGGGACGGAGGGAGUAGCUCAUAUAAUCCUCACUCCUUCCGAAUAUAUGGCGGUGCUAAACUCGGCAACCCCAUUCGUUUUAGAGCUCCGGCGUGGUGAAGCUCACGCACGAGGUGCACGGUCCGGCCAGUUCCUUUCCAGAGACCUUUGCUUUCCAUUGUGAAUGAACUGAUCAACUGAAGCGUUUGCUUUGUACACUUUGUAUUGCAUUGCGCUAACGUGUACACGGUCCAUCUUGAUUUCUAAAUGAUGGCCGGUCACAUGGACGUGUGAGCACGGGAUUGACAAGGCAACUAACACAAUUCUAUUACUACGAGGAGGCAACUAACAGAGUAAAAAUAUUGCUACUCACCCUACUAUCAUCACAGAGACACACGCAAAAUCCAGCUCUGCUUAUUAACACCUCUACCUACGUAGUACUAGGUUGCUUCAUUUGUAAUUAACCAAUAUAGCUCCAUUGCCAUGUUACGCAGCGAGUAAAUAAACAUUACUCCCUCUGUUCUGAUUUACUCGUCAUGGUUUUAGUUCAAAUUUAAACUAAAACCACAGCGAGUAAAUCAGAACGGAGGAAGUACUUAUCAGUCCAGCUAACUAGCUGCAAUCCUAAUUAAUGCAGCCUUCGGAUCUGCUUUGUUUCACCCAGCCUAUAAAACCACACAAUAUGUACCUCCAGUUCUGCACACAACACACACGCGCGCACACACACAAAGCACAGCAGCUAGCUGCAAGCACAAGAAGGAGGCAGCAAUGGCGAGGCAUCGCCUCCUUGCCGUGCUCCUCAUCGGGAUAGUUGCAGCCUCCGCCUUCAACCAAGCAGCUGCGGCUGGCCGAGGCCUUGCUGUCGUCGAGAAAUUUGCAGAGCUAGAGCCAAAGCCAGAACCCAAACCAGAGCCAAUGCCCAAACCUAUGCCACACACAGAGCCAGAGCCAUGCAAACCUGAACCGACGCCCAAACCCAAACAAAAGCCCGGACAGAAGCCUGAACCAAAACCCAAGCCCAAACCGAUGCCAAAACCGAAGCCCGAGCCGUGCUCCAAACCAAAGCCGGGGCCUAAGCCUGAGCCGAUGCCAAAACCCGAACCAAAGCCAGAGCCCAAGCCUGAACCUGAACCGAAACCGAAGCCGCCUUCAAAGUGCAAACCACCGACAACUCACAAUUGAUGGGAUACUUAUAUAUGAGAGUAGUUGGAGGAGACCCCGCACGGAGCCACAAUGUGCUAUUUCUAGAAUAAGUGGUGUAGUAUUCCCUGUAUUCCAUUUCUUUUUAUUUUUCCAUGCGCGCGUGAUGAGUACUAGUACUCUGUAAUUACUAUUUGGUUGUUGGUAUAUGUUCAUCUACUUUGUAUAUGACUCGACUCAUUGUUCUUUUGAGUAUCUACGCAUGAUUGUAUUCAUUCACAUGAAUUAGCUAUUUUGUUAGAGGACUGCAGUCUAUGUUUUUUUUGUAUGGGUUGCAAUCUCGGUUAUUUUCUCUAUGGGAUUGUUUCAUAUUAUGUGGUCUUUUUNNNNNNNNNNNNNNNNNNNNNNNNNNNNNNNNNNNNNNNNNNNNNNNNNNNNNNNNNNNNNNNNNNNNNNNNNNNNNNNNNNNNNNNNNNNNNNNNNNNNNNNNNNNNNNNNNNNNNNNNNNNNNNNNNNNNNNNNNNNNNNNNNNNNNNNNNNNNNNNNNNNNNNNNNNNNNNNNNNNNNNNNNNNNNNNNNNNNNNNNNNNNNNNNNNNNNNNNNNNNNNNNNNNNNNNNNNNNNNNNNNNNNNNNNNNNNNNNNNNNNNNNNNNNNNNNNNNNNNNNNNNNNNNNNNNNNNNNNNNNNNNNNNNNNNNNNNNNNNNNNNNNNNNNNNNNNNNNNNNNNNNNNNNNNNNNNNNNNNNNNNNNNNNNNNNNNNNNGAAGAGAAGGCCUCCCUAAAUUGCAGCACACAUAUGAAAUGUAUAUAGUAUGCGCGUAUGUGUCUGGUGUUCUAGAUGUAUAAAGUGUACUCACACGCCACACAGCGGUUUUGUUCUCUACCCUUCGCCUAUGAACUAAGUCCCGACCAGGUGCGUUAGUAUUUAUACCCAGGCUCUAUGAGUGAGCUGGCUCCAUUGCUAGUUAUACUAGGUAAACGUCACAUACAUUGCUACGGAAAUUUAUAGCAAUGAAAUUUAAAAAAAUACCAUAUAUGUGAAUAAUACUACACAACAUUCUCAACAUAUGACAAUAGAAAACCUAGAUGUAACUGGAGGGUGGAUGCAUGUUAUAUUGUCUUGCAACCUUCAAGUUUAAUUAUUUGUUGUUGAAAGAUAAUAAAUAGUAAAAAAAUAAUAAGGUUAACAGCUUGCGUGUGUUUGAUUAUGUAGAGGGCUUGCAUAUGAUGGAAAGUGAAAAGUCUAAUGAUUACAUGCACCCUUGAUGAUGUAGAGGACUUGCAUGUGAUGAAAAAUGGUAAGUGAAAGUUGAUUGGUUGCAUGUCCUUCAUGAUGUGAUUAAUUUGCAUGUGCAUUUAGACUUACUUAGAUAUAUAGGAUAUGUGUGUGAAAGGUAACUGCACCCCCUGGUCAAGAUUAGUGGCGGAGCUACCCAAAAAUUGUUGGGCAGGUCAAGGUGGCCCAUCCUAAAGGAAACACGUUUUUCUCUCUCAAAAGGCCCAAGUUUACCUAUACUUGGCUAUGGGCUGGGCCGGCUAUGGCCCAUCUGGCCUUGUUGUAGCUCCAACAGUGGUCAAGACUAUCAAGAAAAGGCACCAUGAAAAUUAUAAUAACAGAUUUUCUCUUACUCAAUUCGCAACAAGAAAAAUCUCCCAGUGAUAGUGCUACGCAACAUUCGAGAGACCAUAAUAAUCUCUCACCCAUCCCAUGGUGCUGGCAGGGUCAACUCUAUAAUUUUGAGAGCGCUUGUGUGAAAUUGGCAAAUUGAUAGUCUUUUUCUUUUCUUUAUUGCGCAUGAAAACUCCUUUUAAGCAACAUUAUAGUAACCCUAAAACUGACAAGGAAAGUAAAUAAAGUACAUAAGUAGAAUUUUAGAAAUCAGAGCACUAACAUUUAACAUGCUUCGACGAAUGGGUGGCUCUGGUAAUAUGGCUAUGGGUACGAGGAAUGAGAGGCCUAGAGUGACAAGCUCAUGCUUCGCUGUCACAGAUGUCUGAGGAGGAGGCGAGACGCUCACGUCACCAAGCUACGAGACAAACCUGUGAAGAUGAAAAUCACGAAUUACAAUUAGGAGAACUGGUGACGCCAUGUGUCCGUGUCGCACGCCGAUUAUGAUUCUUUUCCUUUUUAUGGACCAGUUCAACCAACGGCUAAAGGCCUAAAGCUUGCUUCUUGGAGAGCGUGUAUACCUCAAUUUUAGGAAAGCUCCUUCUCAGUGCUUAUAGUGCUCAUUAGUGCCGCAGCGCACAAGAGCUCGCGCGCAUGGGUCAUCGCAUUAAAAGGCAAAGCGGUUGCUUGCUUGGCCACCCACUACACACUUUUUUUGCAAGCCUUUUUUUAAGGAUUCUCUGUUAUUCAAUGAAAAAAAUCCCACCGGUUUUCUAAAUUUAAAAAUUCAUGAAUAUGAAAAUUUUCAAAAAUUUGAAAAACAAUUACAGUUUGAAGAGAAUGAAUUGAAAAUUUUUGAAAAUUUUAAAAAAAAUCACAAAUUCAUUUUUUGUGAAUUUGAAAAAAGGUGAUUCAAAAAAGUUUGUGAAAUUUGAAAAAAAUCUCAUGAAUAUGAAAAAAUGGUCACAAAAUUGAAAAACUUCAAAAAUUUGAAAAAAAUGUUAGAGAAGUUUAAAAAUAAAAUAAUUAGAAAAAGAGAAAAAAAAAGGCAGAAGAGUAAAAAAGAAAAAUCAGGAUGAAAGUUUCCAUAACCAAAGUUGGCCCAUAAGCUUCUGGAAGCUUCCUAAAACCGACGGGAGGGAGCUUCUGCUCAUGUAAAUGCCAUAGAUUGGGCAGCCCUUUUACAAUCUAUUGAAGCAAGAGGUGCAUGCGCUUUUUAUCAAUAACUUGGAAACCAAUGGUAAAUAGCAUAUCUCCACUUUUAGCGCGGCGUAGAACGGAAUUCGACUACAGAUCCACAGUAUGGGCCAAUCCCAACAUGUUUUUCUAACAAGCUACUUUUUCUAUUGGGGCAGAUGUCUCACUCUAACGAGUAGGAUUUUUUUGUUCUUAUUUUCACAUUUUUCUUUUCAUUUUUUCUAAUUUUCUAGAAAACGCUCUAUAACAUAUAUGGGUGAUCAUAUAAUUUAAUAAGUUUUCAUGUACUUUAAAAAUGUUCAUCACCUAUUUAUAAAACGUUUUCAAAAUAUGAAACAUUUUUAAAAUACAAUUACAAUUACAAAAAGUGUUCAUAUUUUUCUGAAAAUAUACACUAUGAACAUUUUGAACAAUACGGAUGAAGAUUUAUUUUAAUACAUGAUGAACCUUUGUAAUCACAAUAUUUUCUAAAAAUACACAAAGAUUUUUAUAUACACAAUAAAUAUGUUGUUCAUACACGAUGAACAUUUUGUAAAAACAUGAGUGAACAUUGCCCAACUCCGAUGAGGAAGGGGCAAUGAUGGUAGUACCCCUUCGGCUUGCUCGACUGAUUGUAGACAUCGCUAGGUGGUCUAUGGACCUGAACAUAAGUUCUAUUACCUCUGGUGUUCUUGUAUUGACAUGAUGGUUGAUAAGUAGAUCGGAUUUUUUCGAUAUUUUUUUAAGAAAAAUGUUCAACUUGUCUUACAAAUUGUUCCGAAGAUUAAGAAAAAUAUAUUCGCAUUUUUUAAAAAGAACAUUGCAUUUCAAUUUUUUCACAUGUUUAGAAAUUGUUCAUGGCAAUAUUGAAAUAUAAAAAAUGUGUUAUUACAGUUUUGGAAAAAUGUUUGUGGUAUAUAAAAAUUGUUCAUCAUGUAUUUAUAAAACAAUCAAACUUGUAUUAAAAAAUAUUAUAUGUAUAUUUUAAAAAUGUUUAUUAUUUUUAAUAUUUUCAAUAUGUAUUUGAAAAUAGGAAAAUGAAAAACAAAACAUGAAGCAAUGAACAGGAAAAGUAAAAGAGAAACCAAAAAUGAAAAACCUAAACAAACCCAAUAAAGAAAACCCAGACAAAACGUUAUGAGAUCACAAGAAACAAACAAAUGCUACACACCUCCACCACUACUGGGCCACAGCCCACACCGCAUCGCCAGAGGUGAGCGCCUCGCGGUAGGCAGAGACAUAGCAUUUGCGUAAAAUGACCGCACGAAUUGAACAAACUGUCGGCUAGCUAGUUAUUAGAAAGACAUGUAACUUAAUUCAAACUCAACAAAAUUAUAGGUACAAUGCUUUGGAUCAUAGAUACAAGAAAUUAUAAAAUAACUCAUAUAACUAAGAAUUACAAUGAAACCCUCUUGAGUCAAAAUAUGAUAAACAGAGGAAAAAACAUUAGCACAUAUAAUCUUUACUCUAUCCGAAUAUAUGGCGGUGCUAAACUCAGCAACCCCAUUAGUUUUGGAGCUCCGGUUUCAUGGAGCCUUUUUUGGAAAAUCAUACAUUAAUAACUAAAACACGCGCGUGCAUGAGACUGGAGAAUGAGGGGCAUGCAACAUCAAAAUAGGUUAGUUUGUCGGAAUUAUAAGAUUUAAUAAUUUGAGACAAUAUGCAUAAUAAAACCCUCACUAGUGCAGUGUCGAAAACGCUCUUAUAUUGUGGGAUGGAGGAGUACAAUUUUGAAACUGUGCCCAGUAUAUCGGGCCAGAGGGAGAGCUUGAGAAAACACUGAGUCAGCGAAAACUCAGGUGUACGAAGCAGACCAUGGAGCCUUGGGGCUUCUUAACAGGUGGUCCUCACGCACGAGGUGGCUGCACAAUUGGGCCAGUUCCUUACCGGAGACCUUUCCUUUCCAUUCAUUGUGAAUUGAACUGAAGCGAUUGCUUUUUACUUUGUAUUGCAUUGCACAAACGUGUACACUGUCUAUCUUAAUUUCUAAAUGAUGGCCGGUCACAUGGACGUGUGAGCACGGGAUUGACAAGGCAACUAACACAAUUCUACUACUACGAGGAGGCAACUGAUAAUAUUGUUACUCACCCUACUAUCAUCAGAUGGAGACACACAAACAUAAUCCACUGGACAAGGCAACUAACAUAAUUUCUAUUACCACGAGGUUGCAACUAAUAGAGUAAAAAUAUUGUUACUCACAUGUACUAUCAUCAAAGAGACACACACGCAGAAUCCAGCUGUGCGUAUUAACACCUCUAGCUACCUCCGUAGGUCGCUUCAUUUGUAAUCAACUAAUCAACCAAUAUAACUCCAUUGACAUGUUACCCAGUACUACUUGUCACUCCAGCUACCUAGCUGCAAUUCUAAUUAAUGCACCCUCCAGAUCUGUUUUGUUUCACCCAGCCUAUAAAACCACACAGUAUGUAUCUCCAGCUCUCCACACAACACACACGCGCGCACACACAAAGCGCAGCAGGUUCAACACUAGCUACAAUCACAAGUAGGCAGCAAUGGCGAGGCAUCGCCUCCUCGCCGUGCUCCUCAUCGGCAUAGUUGCAGCCUCCGCCUUCAACCAAGCAGCUGUGGCUGGCCGAGGCCUUGCUGCCAUCGAGAAGUUUGCAGAGCUAGAGCCAAAGCCAGAACCUAAACAAGAGCUAAUGCCCAAACCUAUGCCACACACAGAGCCAGAGCCAUGCAAACCUGAACCGACGCCCAAACCCAAACCAAAGCCCGAACAAAAGCCUGGACAUAAGCCUGAGCCAGAACCCAAGCCCAAGCCGAUGCCAAAACCGAAGCCCGAGCCCUGCUCCAAACCAAAGCUGGUGCCAAAACCCGAACCAAAGCCAGAGCCCAAGCCUGAACCUGAACCGAAACCGAAGCCGCCUCCAAAGUGCAAACCACCGACAACGCACAAUUGAUGGGAUGCUUAUAUAUGAGAGUUGAUGGAGGAGACCCCGCACGGAGCCACACUGUGCUAUUUCUAGAAUAAGUGGUGUAGUACUCCUUGUAUUCCAUUUCUUUCUAUUUUUCCAUGCAGAGUACGUACUAGUACUCUGUAAUUACUAUUUGCUUGUUGGUAUAUGUUCAUCUACUUUGUAUGUGACUGACUCGUUGUUCUUUUGAGUAUCUACGCAUGAUUGUAUUCAUUCACAUCAAUGAGCUAUUUCGUUAGUGGACUGCAGUCUAUGUUGUUUUCUCUAUGGGGUUGUUUCAUAUUAUGUGGUCUUUUUUGGGGGGAAAGACGAUGUCAACAAAAAAGAAGAAAAUGACUCCCUAAAUAGCAGCACACAUAUGAAGUGUAUAGUGUGCGCGUACGUGCCUGGUGUUCUAGAUGUAUAAAGUGUACUCACACGCAAGACAACAGCCUUGUUCUCUACCCUUCACCUAUGAGCUAAGUCCCGACCGUGUGCGUUAGUAUUUAUGCCCAGGCUGACUCCGCUGCUGGUUAUACUAGCUAAACUUUGCACACAUUGCUACGAAAAUUUAUAGCAAUGAAAUUUUGAAAACUAGCAUAUAUGGGGAUAAUACUACACAACAUUCUCACCAUAUGUCAAUGAAAACCUACAUGUAAUGGAGGGUGGAUGCAUUUUAUAUUGUCUUGUGACCUUAUAGUUUAAUUAUUUCUUGCUGAACAUAAAUAGUAAAAAAUAAUGAGGUGAAGAGCUUUCAUGUGUUUGAUGAUGUGGAGGACUUGCAUAUGAUGAAAAGUGAAAAGUUGAAUGAUUACAUGCACGCUUGAUGAUAUGGAGGACUUGCCUGUGAUGAAAAGUGGUAAGUGAAAGUUUAUUGGCUGCAUGCCCUUCAUAAUGUGAUUGACAUGCAUGUGUAUUUAAAUGGGAUGACUUACUUAGAUACUAUAUAGGAUAUGUUUGAAAGAUAACUACACCCCCUAGGUCAAGAUUACCAAGAAAAACACCAUGGAAAUUAUUAUUAAUAGAUUUUCUCUUACUCAAUUCGCAACAAGAAAAAACACUCAACGACAAUGCUAUGCAACAUAAGAGAGACCACAAUAAUCUCUCACCCACCCCAUGGUACUGCCAGGGUAGGCUCUAUGAUUUUAAGAGCCCUUGGGUGAAGUUGGCGAAUUGAUCAUCCUUAUUUUUUCCUUUUUCAACACUCAACAAAUCUUUUUUAAGAAACAUUAUAGUAACCCUAAAACUGACGAGGAAAGUAAAUACAUAAAUUGAACUUUGAAAUUAGAGGUCUAACAUUUAACAUGCUUCGAGGAAUGGGUGGCACUGAUAAUAUGGCUAUGGAUGCAUGCAAUGAGAGAUCUAGAGAGUGACAAGCUCGUGCCUUGUUGUCCUUGACGUAUGAGGAGGCGGCGAGACUCACGUCGUCAAGCUUCGAGACAAACCUGCAACGACGAAGAUCGUGAAUUGCAAUAAGGAGAACUGGUGAUGCCAUGUGUCCAUGUCGCAUACCGAUUGUGAUUCUUUUCCUUUUGAUGGACUAGUUCAACCAACGGCUAAAAGCCUAAAGCUUGCUUUUAGGAGAGCGUGUAUACCUCACUUUUAGUAGAGCUCCUUCUCAACGCUUAUAGCGCUCGCUGCAGCGCACAUGUGCUCGUGCAAAUGGGUCUUCCCAUUAAUUGGUAAAGCAGUUGCUCGCCCGACCGCCCACUACACUCCUUUUUUGCCGCCUUCUUUUCCUGGUAUUGCUCUAUAUAUUAUUCAAUGAAAGAAAACUUCCACCGGGUUUACAAAUUUAAAAAAAUCAUGAAUAUGAAAAGGUUCACAAAUGUGAAAAAAUACGGAUUUGAAAAUAUAAUUUAUUCAAAAACAUGGACAACUUCUAAAAAAUCACAAAUUCAUUUUUUGCGAAUUCGAAAAGGUGAAUUAAAAAAUUGUAAUUUCAAAAAACUCGCAAAUAUGAAAAAAUGUUCACAAAAUAAAGAGUUCAUGAAUUUAAAAAUAAUAAAAGAAUGCAAACAGAAAAGAGAAACAAGGCGGAAAAGUAAAAAAGAAAAACCAGGCAGAAAGUUUACAGAACCAAAGUUGACCCAUAAGCUUUUGGAAAAUUCCUAAAAACGGGAGGGAGCUUCCGCUCACGUAAACCCCAUAGAUUGGCCACCCCUUAUACGAUCUAUUGAAGGAAGAGGUGUAUGCGCUUUCUACCAAUAACUUAGACACUAGUGCUAAAUAGCAUAUUUCCACUUUUAGCGAGGGGUAGAACGAAAUUUGACUAUAAAGCCACGGCAUGGGCCAAUCGCAACAUUUUCUUUCUAACAAACAAGAUUUUUCUAUAGGGGCACACGUCUCACUCUAAUGAGCGUGUUUUUUUCAUUCUUAUUUUCACUUUUUUUUCUCAUUUUCUAGAAAACGUUCUAUAAAAUAUAUGGGUUUGUACUUUUGGUAAGUGAUCAUGUAGUUUAAUAAGUGUAAAUGUACUUAAAAAUGCUCAUCAUGUAUUUAUAAAACAUUUUCAAAAAAAUCAAACAUUUUUCAAAUACACAUAGAACUGAAAAGUGUUCAAAUAUUUUCCGAAAAUAUACACUGUGAACAUUUUGAACAAUAUAGGAUGAAGAUUUCUUUCAAUACAUGAUGAACCUUUCAAAUAACAAUAUUUUUCUAAAAUUGCACAAUGAUUUUUUUAAAUCCAUGAUAAUGUUUAAAUAUACAAUAUUAUUUUCAUACACGACGAACAUUUUGAAAAAACAUGAGUGAGCAUUGCCCAACUCCCAUGAGGGAGGGGCGAUGAUCGUGGUGCACUUUCGGCUUGGUCGAGUGAUUGUAGACAUCGCUAGGUGGUCUAUGGAACUGGAUGUAAGUUAUGUUACUUCAGGUGUUCUUAUACUGACAUGAUAGUUGAUAAAUAGAUCGAAAGUUUUUUUUUGUAAAAAAUAAAAGAAACAUUUCGAACUUGUCUUAAAAAUUGUUCCUGAGAUUUUGAAAAUAUAUUUGCCUUGUUCCAAAAAAUUACAUUUUCAUUUUUCACAUGUUUAGAAAAUUGUUCAUGGCAAUACUAAAAAUGUUUCAUUAUAAAAAAAGUUCUUACAUUUUUUAUAAAAAUGUUCAUAGUAUAUCAAAAAAUUUCAUCAUGUAUUUAUAAAACGUUCAAAUAUGUAUUGGAAAAAUAUUAUAUGUGUAUUUUUAAAAAUAUUUUGAAAAAAAAUCAGCAUGUAUUUGAAAUAUGGAAAAAUGAAAAAGAAAAUACAAAACAAAACAUGAAAUAAAUGAAGAAAAGUAAAAGGGGUAUGAAAAUGAAAAACCUAAAGAAACGCGAUAAAGAAACCAGAAGAAAAAACCCAAACAGAAUGUUUCAAAAAUCGCACGAAACGAACCAAUGCUACGCCUCCACCGCGACUGGGCCACAGCCCGCACACCAUUGCCAGAGGUGAGGGCCGCAUUUGCGCAAAAUGACCGCACACAUUGAACAAACUGUCAGCUAGCUAGUUAUUAGAAUGACAUGUAACUUUAUUCAAACUCAACAAAGUUACAGGUACAAUGCUUUGAUCAUGCAUACAAGAAAUUAUAAAAUAAUUCCUAUAACUAAGAAUUACGAUGCAACCCUCUUGAGUAAAAGUAUGACAAACGGAGGAAAAAAAUAUUAGCACAAUAUAAUCCUUGCUCUAUCCGAAUAUAUGGCGGUACAAAACUCAGCAACCCCGUUCGUUUUGGAGCUCCGGCUCCAUGAGGCCUUUUUUGGAAAAUCAGACAUGCAUAACUAAAACAUACGUGAUCUAACAUAUCUUAUAUUAGUUUACAGAGGGAGUACAUGCAUAAGUAAAACAUACGCAUGCAUGAGACUGGAGAAUGAGGGGCAUGCAUCGUCAAAAUAGGGUAGUUUGUCGGACAGUUAUAAGAUUUAAUAAUUUGGGGCAAUAAGCAUGAUAAAUCCUCAUUGGUAUCUAUAAUUUUGAAACUGUGCCCAGUAUACCGGGCCAGAGGGAGUGCUUGAGAAACACUUUUUACAAAAAGAAGGAUAACCCCUGAUCUAUGCAUAAGCAAUGCACACAGCCACUUUUAUUAUAUUAUUCAACAAAAUCUGACAAAACUAGUACAUGGACAACAUAAAGCCAUCUUCAUGGCAACCACUUGAGAAAACACUGAGUCCGUGAAAACUCGGUCGACGAAGCAGUCCAGGGAGCCUUGGGGCUUCCAACAGGUGGUGAAGCUCCCGCACAGGGUGUACGAUCGGGCCAAUUCCUUUCCAUUGUGAAUUGAACUGAAGUGAUUGCUUUUUUUUUACUUUGUAUUGCAAUUGCACUAACAUAAUUCUAAUGAUGGACGGUCACAUGGACGUGUGAGCACGGGAUUGACAAGCCAACUAACAUAAUUCUAUUACUACGAGGAUGCAACUAAUAGACUAAAAAUAUUGUUACUCACCCCCGCUGUCAUAACAAAGAGACACACACGCAAAAUCCAGCUGUGCUUAUUAACACCUCUACCUACCUAGGUUGCUUCAUUUGUAAUCAACUAAUCAACGAAUAUAACUCCAUUGACGUGUUAUGCAGUACUCUUUCACUUCAGCUAGCUAGCUGCAAUUCUAAUUAAUGCAGCCUCCAGAUCUGCUUUGUUUCACCAAGCCUAUAAAACCACACAAUAUGUAUCUCCAGUUCUCCACACAACACACACACACACACACACACACACACAAAACACAGCAGGUGCAACACUAGCUAGCUGUAAGCAUAAGAAGUAGGCAGCAAUGGCGAGGCAUCGCCUCCUCGUCGUGCUCCUCAUCGGGAUAGUUGCAGCCUCCGCCUUCAACCAAGCAGCUGCCGCUGGCCGAGGCCUUGCUGUCGUUGAGAAGUUUGCAGAGCUAGAGCCAAAGCCAGAGCCCAAACCAGAACCAAUUCCCAAGCUUACGCCACACCCAGAGCCAGAGCCUUGCAAACCUGAACCAAUGCCCAAACCCAAACCAAAACCCGAACAAAAGCCCGGACAGAAGCCCGAACCAGAACCCAAGCCCAAGCCAAUGCCAAAACCAAAGCCCGAGCCCUGCUCCAAACCAAAGCCAGAUCCUAAGCCCGAGCCGAUGCCGAAACCCGAACCAAAGCCGGAGCCCAAGCCUAAACCUGAACCGAAACCGAAGCCGCCUCCGAAGUGCAAAUCACCGGCAACACACAAUUGAUGGGAUAAUUAUAUAUGACACUUGACGAAGGAGACCUGGAAUGGAGCCACACUGUGUUAUUGUUAGAAUAAGUGGUGUAGUAUUCUCUGUAUUCACUUUCUUUUUAUUGUUCCAUGAGCGCGUGAUGAGUAUUAGAACUCUGUGAUUAUUAUUUUCUUGUUGCUAUAUGUUCAUCUACUUUGUAUGUGACCAGACUCGUUGUUCUUUUGAGUAUAAGUGCAUGAUUGUAUUCAUUCGCAUGAAUGAGCUAUGUUGUCCAGUGGGCUGCAGUCUAUUGUUG